AUAUUUCAAUGUAGCUUCUCUCCAUGCAGAAUUUGAGGACCUCUGAGCUAAACAACCUGUGGAAAAUUCUCUCAAGUUUCAAGUGUCUGGGACCAAGGAUUCAGAGUAAACACCAUGUGGGUUGUUCAGUAAGAAAGCUCCAACAUAAAGGAGAAGUAAUUCAUUGCCAGACCACACUGCUCAGGGUCCUGCAAGAGUACUGGCACAGUUUCAAUGAAGAAUAUGUUGUUGAAUCAAAAAGAUAAUUGGACCAUUGAUCUUAAAUCUUUCGUAGGUGAUGCUGAGAAGAAAUCUCCAUGUAAACUCAAAGCUAAUGACCUACUUUCCUUUGGGAUGCAAUCAUUGGCAGUUCGACAACUUUCACAUCAAAGUUUUCAAGUUGAGGGAAGUCAUUUAAGUAAGCUUAACCUAAACUCAUUUAUUGUGAAACAGAGAGUGUGAGAUACACCGGAUGCAGAGAAGGUCAAAACUGAAUAGGAAGAUUUUAUCCAGCUCUGGCUUCUACAAGUGAGGGGGAGUAAAGGCAACCCAUGGAAGCCCAUUGAAGUGAAUCAUGCUAAAGUAGUGAAAAAUGUAAGUUCUUGAAGAGCACCAAAAAUGUACCAUACUCACUUCAGCCAGUCACUUAUUCUCUCAGUGCCUCAGUUUUGCAAUCUGUACAAUGGGGUCAUUUGUGCAAUGGAAUGAGAAGAGAUAUGUGAACAGUAUUACGAAAAAGAAGGGUGGUAAAGUGGACCGUGGUCAGGCUAGCCACACAGCCUUGUCAUUAAUGUUUAUGAGUGUGCAUUUUUGUGAUAGAUUU